GACGAACGCUGGCGGCGUGCUUAACACAUGCAAGUCGAACGGAAAGGCCCUGCUUUUGUGGGGUGCUCGAGUGGCGAACGGGUGAGUAACACGUGAGUAACCUGCCCUUGACUUUGGGAUAACUUCAGGAAACUGGGGCUAAUACCGGAUAGGAGCUCCUGCUGCAUGGUGGGGGUUGGAAAGUUUCGGCGGUUGGGGAUGGACUCGCGGCUUAUCAGCUUGUUGGUGGGGUAGUGGCUUACCAAGGCUUCGACGGGUAGCCGGCCUGAGAGGGUGACCGGCCACAUUGGGACUGAGAUACGGCCCAGACUCCUACGGGAGGCAACAGUGGGGAAUAUUGCACAAUGGGCGGAAGCCUGAUGCAGCAACGCCGCGUGCGGGAUGACGGCCUUCGGGUUGUAAACCGCUUUCGCCUGUGACGAAGCGUGAGUGACGGUAAUGGGUAAAGAAGCACCGGCUAACUACGU
rnacentral:rRNA from 1 species